GACGAACGCUGGCGGCGUGGAUUAGGCAUGCAAGUCGAACGGUAUCAUCCUUUCGGGGGUGAGAGAGUGGCGAACUGGUGAGUAACACGUAGGUUAUCUACCCUCAAGACGGGGACAACCCAGGGAAACUUGGGCUAAUACCGGAUGUGAGCAACUUUUAGUUGUUUGAAAGGUGGCGUAAGCUGUCGCUUGGGGAUGAGCCUGCGUCCUAUUAGUUAGUUGGUGAGGUAACGGCUCACCUAGGCAAUGAUAGGUAGGCGGCCUUAACGGGUGGUCGCCCACACUGGGAUUGAGAUACGGCCCAGACUCCUACGGGAGGCAGCAGUCGAGAAUAGUCUACAAUGGUCGGAAGACUGAUAGUGCGACGCCGCGUGAACGAUGAAUCCCUUCGGGGUGUAAAGUUCUUUUAUAUGUGAGCAGUGCUUCUUAUAUUAACAGUAUGGGGAAGAGAUAUUAGCAUAUGAAUAAGCAACGGCUAACUCCGUGCCAGCCAGCCGACGGUAAAA
rnacentral:rRNA from 1 species